rnacentral:snRNA from 1 species
GUGCUCACUUUGGCAGCACAUAUACUAAAAUUGGAAUGAUACAGAGAUUAGCAUGGUCCCUGCCCAAGGAUGACAUGAAAAUUCAUGAAGCAUUCCAUAUUUUA